UGCGCUUGAAUUAUCCGCCAGGGAGAGGAUUUCGCACAGACACAGCAGUGUGGUGGAUUAGAGCUACGCUGUGGCCCUCAGAGCCGAGGGGGGGUCUAUUAACCUACUACAACCACAACCACUCCCUUCAUCAGACCAACCAGACUGAUAACGUAAACUAAAUCAACGAAGCAGAAAAACUGACAGAAGCAUCUUUAAGCAUCAGACGCGUCCAGCACUGACGGACGCCUGACGGCGCUUCCAGUCAAAGGCUGCAGAGCUUCAAAGCUGGCGCUCUCAUCCUGCAUGAAUAAUGUUCACGUGUUUACGCGAGCGGCCGAACCUGAAGCUCUGGAUCGGUUCUUAAUGAAACCUCCCGGGCGGCAAACCGAGCGGAUCCGUAAUUGAACCGGGAGCUUAGGUUCGGUUUGUGUCCAGCCGCUCGAACUCGGCAGCUUCCGAGCGCUGCGCAUGGAAAUCUAUCAAUUAUGAAUCUGCACUGAGUGACAGCACCGGGGUCGUCCUCUGGAUCUCACUCAGCUUAUUUAGCUCCGAGACGCAGAGAGACACGGGCUCAAAGGCCGACGGUGAGCCGGGCGGGAAUGUGGCAGCAUGUUGGGAGAGAGAGAGAGACAGAGAGAGAGAGAGAGAGAGAGAGAAGGUAAACAAACGGAUGGAGAUGAAGCUGUGACGCGCUGACUCACGUGAGCCAACGCGCGUUAGAAGCUGCAGCAGCGGUGGAUGAGAGAGAGAGAACACACAGAACGCCUGCAUCACCAGCAUCUCCACAGUCAGAACCAGGCUGAAGAACCCGCUCAGAACCGCCUCCAGGCAUUUGCUCCGUUUAGUCCAGAGCGAAGUCAGUGACUGCUCUGUACAUUACUGCAUGUCAUCCCUCACUGACAGCGGCCCAGUGAUGAGUCAGCUCCAGCUCAGACUCAGUUCAACGCGCGGGCGGCAGCGUUUUACAACAGUCUUCAGAAAUAGAAGCUGAGGUAAACGCGUCUGUGAACGAUGAAGACGCUGCCUUCACUUCCAGUUCUUCCUAUUUGUGGGUGAAAUGCUCCAUAAUUGACAAUUAGGACAAUUAGACGUUCACGCAGUCUUAACUUCAGUUAAUCUGUCUAAUAUGAAGAAUAAGAAAAGAUAUGAGCAACGACUGUAAUUAAAAAGGCCAUUUAGCUGCUGCAGCUCUUCACUGUGUCUCAUCUCUGUGUGACUGAUGUCUGAGUUUCUGGUUCUGGACCAGUGGGGCCCACUCCUAGCAGGGACGCAGCCCUGGUUCUGAUAGAACGUUUCAUUGUCUCAGAGUUUCCUUUUCAUUGUUCGCUUCUCCGCCACGUUGUGAUGACGACAGACAGCGGCUCGGGCUAAUUAGAGAUAAGACGCAGGCUUCUUCUCGCUAAGCUGAGAGCGUGGGGCGCCGACAAAAGCUCCGCAGCGGUCAGCGAAAAGGAAACGAGGAGGGAGGAGGAAGGAUGGAGGAGGGAGGAGGAGGCAUGGAGGAUAGAGGAGAGAGGAGGAAGGAUGGAGGAUGGAGGAGGGAGGAUGUUUA
rnacentral:lncRNA from 1 species